UUAUUUUGAUGUGUUUUUCUUUUUUAGUUGUAAUUUAUUUGGUUUUAGCAGUUUUUUCAUCGAGUUUUCAAAAAUAUUAUCAAUGAAAAAUCAGCAUGACGUUUACGAUGGAUUUAACAUCAUUGAAGAACCAGCACGAUCUUUAGGAAUAAUUUUUUUUGUAUUUGAAAAUCGUUUGGGAUUUAUUUUUUAAUUGACUUCACAUUUUUGAACUAUAGAUUUUCAAUAUUCUUCAAUCAAGAUUUUUUCUGCGAAAAAUAUUAAGAAGAAAAGAAAAAGAAAAAGAAAAAAAUUAUAGUAAAGAUAAAAAUAAAAGCAGAAAAUGGGUUGCGCCGUGUCAUGUAGGAGCAAUCACGAACUAAUAACGAAAGAAAACGGUAAAAAGAGAAAAACUUGUUUGGAGAAAAACGAACUUUGUUCAGCAGAAAACGUUCUUACUCCUGUACAAAUAAAAAAUGAAGUUCGAUACUUUAAGUUUCCAUUGUCCAAAAAGGAAGUUGAAGCAUUAAAGAAUUCAUGGGAUCACGUAAAAUCUAGAUGGUUUGAACUAUUAAAAGUCGUCUUUCGAAGAGUAGAGAAUAAAUAAGAAAUGGAAAGCCUUUCAAUCUUAGAGCGAAAAUCAACCAAUCAAGAAACAACGUUUCAAUCAACCAAUCAAGAAACAACGUUUCAAAAGAUAUUAUAGCAGUUAAACAGUUAAAAGAAGUGUUAAAUAAGGUGUUAAACAUCGUAUUGAUAAAAUUAUACUGCAUUCAAUUUAAUAAAAUUUCCACUAAUCAAAAGUCAUUUAAUACUCAACAAAUAACUUGGUGGUUUCAUCGAAACAAAUGACUUGAAGGUGUCAUCGAAACAAACAUUUUGGUGGUGUCAUUGAAACAAAUAACUUGGUGGUUAAAAAUAAAUCAAUUUUUCAUUGAAAUAAAGAACUUAGUGGUGUCAUUGAAGCAAAUAAUUUGGUAGUAUCAUUGAAACUAAUGGUUUGGCGGUGUCAUUGAAGGAAAUGGCUUGGUGGUGUCAUUGAAACAAGUAGCUUGGUGGUGUCAUUGAAACUGAAAAAGAAAAGAAUGUUGUUCAAUUUUUAAUAAAACUGAACUAAAUUUGUUAUUCCGUGAUAUAAGGAACAAGAACAGAUGGUUUACAACACACCCUACAGUAAGAAAACUUUUUAAAAAUCUCCCGGCAAACUCUUCAUUUGAAGAACUACUUGUUUCUAAAGAACUUGUAAUUCAUGUGCAAAGAAUAGAAUCGGCAGUUGAUAUCGUAAUUAGCAAAGUAGAUAAAAUUGAAGAUUUGAUAUUACUUCUAAUCGAACUUGGUAGAUUGCAUUAUGAACUAGGAGUUAACCAAAGCCACGCCAAUGCUCUUGCGGCAAGUUUUCAGUUUGGGAUUUGUGAAGUAUUUCAAGGUAUUGAUUUAGUAACAGAGAGUGCCUGGGACAGUCUUCUACGCUUUAUAAUGGACAUCUUUAAAUACGGUAUACGGUUAGAGGAAAAAGCACUUAACCUUAAGAACAAGCUAUAAAACACGCAAAUGCAUCUUAACGACGUAAAACACGCAAAUGCAUCUUAACGACGUAAAA